CAUCAACCCCGCACCGGUUUUGCCCACGAACCAGCCUUCAUUUCUGUGCCUCAACUGACUUUACCCUUAUCAGUUUUCCUUCUCUCUUCUUCAUCUUUAUCAGAAAAAUAUGGAGUACUGCAUGGCUGCAAGAGCCUUGAAAUCAAGUUUACGCAGCGAACUCGCCUCCAAAUAUACCCAACAAACUCUCUUUGAGGAUAUCUUGUUUUCCAAUGCAAAUAAUGGUGUUGUUUCGUGCGAAGAUUUCUCUGUUGAUGG
rnacentral:misc_RNA from 1 species